UACAGGGGGGGCAAGCGUUGUUCGGAAUUACUGGGCGUAAAGGGUUCGUAGGUGGCCACCUAAGUCAGACGUGAAAUCCCUCAGCUUAACUGGGGAACUGCGUCUGAUACUGGGUGGCUUGAGUGCAGGAGAGGAAUGCGGAAUUCCAGGUGUAGCGGUGAAAUGCGUAGAUAUCGAGAGGAACACCUGCGGCGAAGGCGGGUUGCUGGGCCGACACUGACGCUGAUGCGCGAAAGCCAGGGGAGCGAACGGG
rnacentral:rRNA from 1 species